CCUACGGGUGGCAGCAGUAGGGAAUAUUGCUCAAUGGGGGAAACCCUGAAGCAGCAAUGCCGCGUGGAGGAUGAAGGUUUUCGGAUUGUAAACUCCUUUUGUUAGAGAAGAUAAUGACGGUAUCUAACGAAUAAGCACCGGCUAACUCCGUGCCAGCAGCCGCGGUAAUACGGAGGGUGCAAGCGUUACGCGGAAUCACUGGGCGUAAAGAGCGCGUAGGCGGGUUGGCAAGUCAGAUGUGAAAUCCUAUGGCUUAACCAUAGAACUGCAUUUGAAACUGGUAAUCUAGAGUAUGGGAGAGGGAGGUAGAAUUCUUGGUGUAGGGGUAAAAUGCGUAGAGAUCAAGAGGAAUACUCAUUGCGAAGGCGACCUGCUAGAACAUAACUGACGCUGAUGCGCGAAAGCGUGGGGAGCAAACAGGAUUAGAUACCCGAGUAGUC
rnacentral:rRNA from 1 species